rnacentral:rRNA from 1 species
CGGUGCCGAGUGGUAAAGACAAGGAGUUAUGGCGUUGCGAACUUUGUCGCACAACGACCAAACAAAAAGCCAACACAUGCAAGGGGAAAGAACAUUAAGUGCUGAGUGCAAAACUAGUGGCGGACGGGUGAGUAACGCGUGGGCAACCUACCCAUAAGAGGGGGAUAACAGCUGGAAACGGCUGCUAAUACCGCAUAAGCUUAGCUGGACGCAUGUUUGGUUAAGUAAAGGAGGCUUAGGCUUCCGCUUAUGGAUGGGCCCGCGUCUGAUUAGCUAGUUGGUAGGGUAACGGCCUACCAAGGCGACGAUCAGUAGCCGGCCUGAGAGGGUGUACGGCCACACUGGGACUGAGACACGGCCCAGACUCCUACGGGAGGCAGCAGUGGGGAAUAUUGCGCAAUGGGGGAAACCCUGACGCAGCGACGCCGCGUGAGCGAAGAAGGCCUUCGGGUUGUAAAGCUCUGUUGUAAGGGACGAAGGAUUGGGGUAGUAACUGACCCCAAGGUGACGGUACCUUACGAGGAAGCCCCGGCUAACUACGUG